UACGUAGGGUGCAGGCGUUAAUCGGAAUUACUGGGCGUAAAGCGUGCGCAGGCGGUCUGCUAAGAGAGGUGUGAAAUCCCCGGGCUUAACCUGGGAACUGCGCUUCUAACUGUCAGGCUUGAGUGUGGCAGAGGGGGGUGGAAUUCCACGUGUAGCAGUGAAAUGCGUAGAGAUGUGGAGGAACACCGAUGGCGAAGGCAGCCCCCUGGGCUAACACUGACGCUCAUGCACGAAAGCGUGGGGAGCAAACAGG
rnacentral:rRNA from 1 species